GAUGAACGCUGGCGGCGUGCCUAAUACAUGCAAGUCGAGCGACGGGACGAGAAGCUUGCUUCUCUGAUGUUAGCGGCGGACGGGUGAGUAACACGUGGAUAACCUACCUAUAAGACUGGGAUAACUUCGGGAAACCGGAGCUAAUACCGGAUAAUAUUUUGAACCGCAUGGUUCAAAAGUGAAAGACGGUCUUGCUGUCACUUAUAGAUGGAUCCGCGCUGCAUUAGCUAGUUGGUAAGGUAACGGCUUACCAAGGCAACGAUGCAUAGCCGACCUGAGAGGGUGAUCGGCCACACUGGAACUGAGACACGGUCCAGACUCCUACGGGAGGCAGCAGUAGGGAAUCUUCCGCAAUGGGCGCAAGCCUGACGGAGCAACGCCGCGUGAGUGAUGAAGGUCUUCGGAUCGUAAAACUCUGUUAUUAGGGAAGAACAUAUGUGUAAGUAACUGUGCACAUCUUGACGGUACCUAAUCAGAAAGCCACGGCUAACUACGUGCCAGCAGCCGCGGUAGUACGUAGGUGGCAAGCGUUAUCCGGAAUUAUUGGGCGUAAAGCGCGCGUAGGCGGUUUUUUAAGUCUGAUGUGAAAGCCCACGGCUCAACCGUGGAGGGUCAUUGGAAACUGGAAAACUUGAGUGCAGAAGAGGAAAGUGGAAUUCCAUGUGUAGCGGUGAAAUGCGCAGAGAUAUGGAGGAACACCAGUGGCGAAGGCGACUUUCUGGUCUGUAACUGACGCUGAUGUGCGAAAGCGUGGGGAUCAAACAGGAUUAGAUACCCUGGUAGUCCACGCCGUAAACGAUGAGUGCUAAGUGUUAGGGGGUUUCCGCCCCUUAGUGCUGCAGCUAACGCAUUAAGCACUCCGCCUGGGGAGUACGACCGCCAGGUUG
rnacentral:rRNA from 1 species